rnacentral:sRNA from 1 species
GACUCCAUGGGCCUCAGUUUCUCCUUUGAUAACGUGAGCUUCGCUUCCAGAGACGGGGACCCGCCUUGCCGGGUUAGGCGCACCUCCUGGGGCGGGACUGGCUCCAACCUGGGCCCCUUACUGCGGCUUUCUCUGUGGCCGAGGCCAGGCCGUCCCCGGGGUGGCCAGGAGAGCACCGUAAACUCUUCAGCCUGCUCCGUGGCCGCGAUCUCGGAAAAAGCACCAAUUCUGUGAUGUGCAGCAGCAUUUACUGGGCAUCUAUGACCCUGUGAUAGGCUUUGGGGUCUUUUUCUGUAAGGAGUCCAGUAAAGGAGAAGUACAUCUGCAUUAUGAACACCUAAAUAUGGCCCAGGAGCUUUUUUCCUGUUGGAAUUGGGGAGCAUCUGCAGUCAUUUACCACAUGCCAGCUUUGUGACUCAAUUAAGUAUCUUUUACAAAAGUGACUGGCUCCACUCCCCAGCACAGGACUCAACAGAUGUUGACUUCUCAUCCCCGAGUUCUUUCAGGCCAAAAAGCAAAUGGAUUUCCACCUGACAAAUCUUCGGGAUCCAAGAAGCAGAAACAAUAUCAGCGGA